rnacentral:rRNA from 1 species
UACGUAGGGGGCGAGCGUUGUCCGGAUUCAUUGGGCGUAAAGGGUGCGUAGGCGGCGCGGUAAGUCGGGGUGUGAAAUCUCGGAGCUUUAACUCCGAAAACUGCAUUUCGAUACUGCCGUGCUUUGAGGACUGGAGAGGAGACUGGAAUUUACGGGUGUAGCGGUGAAAUGCGUAGAUAUCGUAAGGAAGACCAGUGGCGAAGGCGGGUCUCUGGACAGUUCCUACGUGAGGCACGAAGGUCAGGGG